rnacentral:rRNA from 1 species
UACGAACUGUGCGAACGUUAUUCGGAAUCACUGGGCUUACAGGGUGCGUAGGCGGCCUUCCAAGUCAGGUGUGAAAUCCCCCAGCUCAACUGGGGAACAGCGCUUGAAACUGGUUGGCUUGAGUCAGCUAGAGGUGCACGGAACUUCCGGUGGAGCGGUGAAAUGUGUUGAUAUCGGAAGGAACACCAGAGGCGAAAGCGGUGCACUGGAGCGGGUCUGACGCUGAGGCACGAAAGCCAGGGGAGCGAACGGG